GCUCAUUCCGAUCUGAAAAUAAACGUUCGUAAGCUGGUUUGAUCAAUUGGUGGUAACUUUAUUUUUUUUUUAAUAAUUAAUAUUUAAUAUUUAGAACUGACAGUAAUUUUUUUCAAUUU